AUUUAAGAAUAAUUCAAUGAUAAAGAAACAAAGCUAUUUAAGCCUUAAAUU
rnacentral:tRNA from 1 species